UACGGGGGGGGCAAGCGUUGUUCGGAAUUACUGGGCGUAAAGGGCCAGUAGGCGGCCAACUAAGUCCGACGUGAAAUCCCAAGGCUUAACCUUGGAACUGCGUCGGAUACUGGAUGGCUUGAAUUCGGGAGAGGGAUGCAGAAUUCCAGGUGUAGCGGUGAAAUGCGUAGAUAUCUGGAGGAAUACCGGUGGCGAAAGCGGCUCUCUGGACCACAACUGACGCUGAGGCGCGAAAGCUAGGGGAGCAAACAGG
rnacentral:rRNA from 1 species